CUGAGGGACCGGCCCGGUCCGCCCUCAACCAGAAGCUCGCUCUGGAAGGAGGGGCCGGCCCCCGGCCCCGCCCCGAGCCCGAGACCGCCCCGCCCACUCACGAGACCGCCCACAGACAAACCCAAGUGCGAGCCCACCGUCCCCGGCCGGCGGUCUGCGGUCUUUGGCGGUUGUGGAGGAUUGGCGGCUUUCGCGAGGCCUCCCGCGCACUACGCCUCUCGGUGCAGCAAAAGUUCUACAGCGUGUGCAGUACUUCCAGAGAGAAGAGAGGAUGGGAGCAGCAAUGUGAGAGGCAGGGUUACCUAGAAGCAUGGUAUGUAUGUAUGUAUUUACGUAUUUAAUUUUCUCUUUUUUCCAUAUUUCUUAUCUCUCCACAUAUCUCUCUUCUCUCUGAAUCUUUCUCCUGGAUUAUCUCCCCAGUAGCUUCGGAGUCCAGAGUGCUAACCAUUACACGAUGGAACCCGCCCCCAGUAGCUUCAAUAAAUUGUUGAAAGACAGUGGCUCAGAUUCAUACUAAAUUGGCCUCAACUCGAAUAGGUGCUGGCAUGGGCUCACUUGACUGAUAGGUCACACUUUGCAAAGUUUGUGAACACUUUUGGGUAUUUUCAACUCUGUAAUCCCCUUAUAAAGACAUAGUAAUACAAUCUGUUUCCCCACAUGCUGCUCCAAAAAUUCUUUCAUAAAUUAUGUUAAAUUACCUAUUUGUUUGUUUGGUAACUCUUUAGGGCAGUCUUUUUAUUUUAUCCUUAGUAUCUGGCAAAUGCUUUAAAAAAAUAAUUACUAGGUUAGGAUCUAUGUUGUCUUUCAGAGGGAGAAACUGAGAAUUUGGCUAGGGCUUCACAGCUAAUGAAGACCAUAGGCAUUCUAACUUCCCACCCAAACUGAGAUUGUACACUUCCGGUCCAGGCCACUUAGGCAGUAGAGGUGCCCCGGGGAAAUGAGCAAAGGAGGAGUAGGAUAAUUUGGAGGAUCAGCCCUCAGACCCCAAAACAGAUGGCCACCACCUCAUGUUCCCUAUCCGGACUUUUCAUCUUUAGGACUUUGGGGGGAUAAUUUUCCCUUCCUUGGUCCUAAAGCCUCCUCUGAGUGGAGUCUAGAAAUCUUUCCAUGAGCCACACUUCGAUGUAGUCUAUGCAGGCAGGAUAAGUUAGGAUUUGGGCUGUUUUACACAGAACAAAGGGAAA